rnacentral:lncRNA from 1 species
GGAGGUACUGAAAACUUUCAGAUGCUUGGCCUCUACUUCUCUCACCACUUUGAGACCAGAAAGCAAAGCUAAGUAUUCUGCAUCGCUGUUAGUGGUCGAAAAUUCAAAGCACAAAGCAUAUCCCACCACGUCUACUUCUGGACUAGUUAAGAUGAGCCUAGCCCCUGCUCCUACCGCAUUUGAUGAGCCGUCGACAUAUAGUGUCCACAGCUCUUUCAGGUCCGAUCCUAUAUGUGCCUCUUCAAUUCUUGAGCUUUCUCAAGCUUUCAAGACUUCUACAGCUUCUAAGCUUUUUCCAUCCAAAAUGGUGCAUUCAAGGAUAAAGUCUGUCAGUACCUAGACCUUGAUGGAAGGCCUCAGAUGGUACUGCACAUCCAAUUCAGCAAGUUUCAAAGCCC